CAGUCGCCGCGGUAACACGAAGGGUGCAAGCGUUAAUCGGAAUUACUGGGCGUAAAGCGUGCGUAGGCGGUUGUGUAAGACAGGUGUGAAAUCCCCGGGCUUAGCCUGGGAACUGCGCUUGUGACUGCACAGCUAGAGUAUGGCAGAGGGGGGUGGAAUUCCACGUGUAGCAGUGAAAUGCGUAGAGAUGUGGAGGAACACCGAUGGCGAAGGCAGCCCCCUGGGCCAAUACUGACGCUCAUGCACGAAAGCGUGGGGAGCAAACAGGAUUAGAUACCCGCGUAGUCCCUGUCUCUUAUAC
rnacentral:rRNA from 1 species